GUAUUUAAAUUGCCAAAAUUGAACAAAUGUAGUUUUCAAGAAAUAACUCAGCAACCAAAAGUGCACAUAUAAAAGAGAGACUGACAGAUUCGCUUCUUCAUUUUGACUUCAAGUUUUCUGGGAAAUAUCUAAGUGGCCAAGAGGAGACAUUUGAACCAAUAUAGGUGAUACUAUUUUGCUAUUCACUUAAUUCAAGUUUUUAAGGGAAUAUAUAGAUCAGUGGCCAAGAGGAGACAUAUAAACGUACGUGACUCAGACUAUUUCAAUUUGCUUACAAUGAAGGACUCGAAUUGGGUGAUGAGUAUACAUUCAAUAUGCUCGAAUUACAAAAGACAGAGAAAGAGAAUGCCAAGAAGAGCAAGAAAUUUGAAGAACACAAUGAAGGAAAAUCUAGAAAGGACCAAGAGGGCUCUUUCAAGAAGACAUUACCUACCAAACAAAAGCAACAGAGUAUUCAUGGGUUUCUUCAAGGUUGUGAUGCUUAGGAAGUUGGAGUUGAAGUGAUUCUUGGAAUCUUAGACCCCUCAAGGUAUGUAAACGAUUUCUACCCUUGAAUUUGAGUUUAUUAUCAAGAGUUCUAGUGAUUUUAAGUAGAGAGAGGAUACUUAUGGAAGUGGUAAGUUGAUAAGGGUAAUAUAGUGAUUUGGGGUUAUUUUAAGAGAUGAUUGAAAAUGGAUUUAAGUAUAUUUUGAUAUAUAUAUAUAUGUGUGUGUGUGUGUGUGUGUGUCCGUGUGUGUUGUCAUUGUGUUGUGGGUAUUGUGGUUGAUGUUAGAUUGAAUAGGAAGUCGAAGGGUUGUUGAGCUUACAAGGGAAAUGUUGUCCAUAGUUUGUUAAGCUCUAUAUGUAUUUAAAGAUGGUUAGUAAGCGAGGCAAAUAGUCUAAUUAAGGCCCAUGUUA